CCUACGGGGUGCAGCAGUGAGGAAUAUUGGUCAAUGGACGAGAGUCUGAACCAGCCAAGUAGCGUGAAGGAUGACUGCCCUAUGGGUUGUAAACUUCUUUUAUAUGGGAAUAAAAUGUUCCACGUGUGGGAUUUUGUAUGUACCUUAUGAAUAAGGAUCGGCUAACUCCGUGCCAGCAGCCGCGGUAAUACGGAGGAUCCGAGCGUUAUCCGGAUUUAUUGGGUUUAAAGGGAGCGUAGGUGGAUUGUUAAGUCAGUUGUGAAAGUUUGCGGCUCAACCGUAAAAUUGCAGUUGAAACUGGCAGUCUUGAGUACAGUAGAGGUGGGCGGAAUGCGUGGUGUAGCGGUGAAAUGCUUAGAUAUCACGAAGAACUCCGAUUGCGAAGGCAGUUCACUGGACUGCAACUGACACUGAGGCUCGAAAGUGUGGGUAUCAAACAGGAUUAGAUACCCGAGUAGUC
rnacentral:rRNA from 1 species